UAAUUACACUCGAAAUUAUUAUUUAUGUAAAUUGUAAAGAAUAAUAAGAUGAUUUAAAAAUGGUGGGGUAGGGUGUUGAAUUUUAUUAAACAAAACUAUUGUAGAGGUUAAAAAUGAAGUGGGUGUUGAAUAAUUAGGUGGAAGAGAGAAAAGAUGAUGUGGAAUGUUAAAAAGAAAAAAAGAGGGUGUAAAUCAACCAUUGCAGAUAGUCUAAGGAAUUGUGUUUAAGAAAAAAAGAAAAAAUCAGUUUCUAAGGGAGAAGCUUUUACUGGGUUACUCCGGGGCCUGCUACGGAGUCAGGGAAUUGAAUUUCAGACUUUCAGUUGUGGUUUAAAGGACUCUUAACAGAGUUGUAAUUUAUGGAUCUCAAGCCCAAUCAUCUAAAGUGGACCUUUUGUAAAACAAGUAAUGGUAAAGUUGUCACCUCCAAAUUAAUUCAAAGUAAUGUUUAGAAAGAGACAUUCUAGACGUGAAACGUUAAAAGAAUAUUUUUAUUGGAAGUAUGUUUGUCAUUAAUCUUGAAAACAUAUAUAUAAGCUUGGAU
rnacentral:lncRNA from 1 species